UGGAAGUCUGAAGGGAGAAGGGGUGUGUCACUUUGUCUGACAGCUGACUACCCUUGGGACGUUACUUUUUGCCUUUCAUUGUAUACAUUUUUGGUACACAAUGCCUGCAAAGAAGAAACAGUUUGCCAAGAACAUUAGCAGCAAGAGGAAAAGGCACAUAGAAGCAAUGAUAAGGUCUAUACAAGCAAAGAGAGCAGCAGCUGCUGUGGUUGGUGACGCCGCCACGAUGCUAGUACCACCACGUGGUGACGCCGCCACCAUGCUAGUACCACCACGUGGUGACGCCGCCACGAUGCUAGUACCACCACCCUCCUCUCAAGACCUGUCCUUGUUCACUGCUACUGAACUAUUGGAUAUUUCACGUUCAGAAACAAGGAAGACAAAAUAUAGGAGCCCCGCAAAUAUGCCCACCUCCACCACGGCUGCUACUACCACAACUACUACCACCACGGCUGCUACUACCACAACUACUACAGCGUUGUAUAAAAGGCAGAACGCAAAACUGUAAUGAAAGUCUGCAUCACCGCAUAUGGUCUUACAGCAAUAAAGCCAAAUAUCAAACCAAGAGGCAUGCUGAUUUCGCAGUCAGCCAUGCUGUUGCUGACUACAAUAGUGGAUAUGUGAGGAGCUGUCUGGACACAGCACUGGGCUACAAACAUUCAGCAGUGACUCAAAAACAACUUGAAUUAAUGGAGAAGAACAUGAAGGAACAACGGAAGCAAAGAGGAAUGAAGAGGAAAAGGGAGCUGGACACGUCCUACGAGCCUGGAGGACAUUAGAUAAUCAUGUGUCCACCUACAUCCAGUCAUAGAUUGAUUGGGAUGGAUUUUUAUGAUUGUCCGGCCACCAGAGAACUUCAGGACAAAGGGAUCUUCAUGGAACUUCAGGAAUAAUGUCUAUAUAACCAGUUCUACUCUCAAUAAACGUAUAAAGGCA